GAUGAACGCUGGCGGCGUGCCUAAUACAUGCAAGUCGAGCGAACGGACGAGAAGCUUGCUUCUCUGAUGUUAGCGGCGGACGGGUGAGUAACACGUGGAUAACCUACCUAUAAGACUGGGAUAACUUCGGGAAACCGGAGCUAAUACCGGAUGAUAUUUUGAACCGCAUGGUUCAAAAGUGAAAGACGGUCUUGCUGUCACCUAUAGAUGGAUCCGCGCUGCAUUAGCUAGUUGGUAAGGUAACGGCUUACCAGGGCAACGAUGCAUAGCCGACCUGAGAGGGUGAUCGGCCACACUGGAACUGAGACACGGUCCAGACUCCUACGGGAGGCAGCAGUAGGGAAUCUUCCGCAAUGGGCGAAAGCCUGACGGAGCAACGCCGCGUGAGUGAUGAAGGUCUUCGGAUCGUAAAACUCUGUUAUUAGGGAAGAACAUAUGUGUAAGUAACUGUGCACAUCUUGACGGUACCUAAUCAGAAAGCCACGGCUAACUACGUG
rnacentral:rRNA from 1 species